rnacentral:rRNA from 1 species
UUCGAGUCGUUGAUUUCACACUGCCGAGAAAAGCCUCUAGAUAGAAAAUAGGUGCCCGUACCGCAAACCGACACAGGUAGUCAAGAUGAGAAUUCUAAGGUGAGCGAGCGAACUCUCGUUAAGGAACUCGGCAAAAUGACCCCGUAACUUCGGGAGAAGGGGUGCUCUUUAGGGUUAACGCCCAGAAGAGCCGCAGUGAAUAGGCCCAAGCGACUGUUUAUCAAAAACACAGGUCUCUGCUAAACCGUAAGGUGAUGUAUAGGGGCUGACGCCUGCCCGGUGCUGGAAGGUUAAGAGGAGUGGUUAGCUUCUGCGAAGCUACGAAUCGAAGCCCCAGUAAACGGCGGCCGUAACUAUAACGGUCCUAAGGUAGCGAAAUUCCUUGUCGGGUAAGUUCCGACCCGCACGAAAGGCGUAACGAUUUGGGCACUGUCUCAACGAGAGACUCGGUGAAAUCAUAGU